UAAUACGAAGGUGGCAAGCGUUAUUCGGAAUCACUGGGCAUAAAGGGCGCGUAGGCGGCCCGACAAGUUUUGUGUGAAAUCCCUCGGCUCAACCGAGGAACUGCGCAAAAAACUGUCGAGCUAGAGUAUUGGAGGGGUGUGUGGAAUUCCUGGUGGAGCGGUGAAAUGCGUAGAUAUCAGGAGGAACGCCGGAGGCGAAAGCGACACACUGGACAAUUACUGACGCUGAGGCGCGAAAGCUAGGGGAGCGAACGGGAUUAGAUACCCCGGUAGUCCUAGCCGUAAACGAUGAGCACUAGAUAGAGGGAGCUCCUAGGCCCUCUCUGUUGUAGCAAAUGUGUUAAGUGCUCCGCCUGGGUAGUACAGUCGCAAGGCUG
rnacentral:rRNA from 1 species